rnacentral:rRNA from 1 species
GAUAAACGCUGGCGGCGCACAUAAGACAUGCAAGUUGAACGGACUUAAUCGAAAUAUUUCUAUUUUUAAGCGGUUAGUGGCGGACUGGUGAGUAACGCGUAAGGAACCUGCCUAUUAGAGGGGAAUAACAGUGAGAAAUCAUUGCUAAUACCGCAUAUGCCAUAUAUAUCACAUGAUAACAGUGGGAAAGGAGCAAUCCGCUAAUAGAUGGCCUUGCGUCUGAUUAGAUAGUUGGUGGGGUAACGGCCUACCAAGUCGACGAUCAGUAGCCGGACUGAGAGGUUGAACGGCCACAUUGGGACUGAGAUACGGCCCAGACUCCUACGGGAGGGAGCAGUAGGGAAUAUUGCGCAAUGGAGGAAACUCUGACGCAGUGACGCCGCGUAUAGGAAGAAGGUUUUCGGAUUGUAAACUAUUGUCGUUAGGGAAGAGAAAGGACAGUACCUAAGGAGGAAGCUCCGGCUAACUACGUG